UUUAAAUUUAGAGUUUGAUCCUGGCUCAGGACGAACGCUGGCGGCGUGCUUAACACAUGCAAGUCGAGCGAUGAAGCUUCCUUCGGGAAGUGGAUUAGCGGCGGACGGGUGAGUAACACGUGGGUAACCUGCCUCAAAGUGGGGGAUAGCCUUCCGAAAGGAAGAUUAAUACCGCAUAAUAUAAGAGAAUCGCAUGAUUUUCUUAUCAAAGAUUUAUUGCUUUGAGAUGGACCCGCGGCGCAUUAGCUAGUUGGUAAGGUAACGGCUUACCAAGGCAACGAUGCGUAGCCGACCUGAGAGGGUGAUCGGCCACAUUGGAACUGAGACACGGUCCAGACUCCUACGGGAGGCAGCAGUGGGGAAUAUUGCGCAAUGGGGGAAACCCUGACGCAGCAACGCCGCGUGGGUGAUGAAGGUCUUCGGAUUGUAAAGCCCUGUUUUCUAGGACGAUAAUGACGGUACUAGAGGAGGAAGCCACGGCUAACUACGUGCCAGCAGCCGCGGUAAUACGUAGGUGGCGAGCGUUGUCCGGAUUUACUGGGCGUAAAGGGUGCGUAGGCGGAUGUUUAAGUGGGAUGUGAAAUCCCCGGGCUUAACCUGGGGGCUGCAUUCCAAACUGGAUAUCUAGAGUGCAGGAGAGGAAAGCGGAAUUCCUAGUGUAGCGGUGAAAUGCGUAGAGAUUAGGAAGAACACCAGUGGCGAAGGCGGCUUUCUGGACUGUAACUGACGCUGAGGCACGAAAGCGUGGGUAGCAAACAGGAUUAGAUACCCUGGUAGUCCACGCCGUAAACGAUGGAUACUAGGUGUAGGGGGUAUCAACUCCCCCUGUGCCGCAGUUAACACAAUAAGUAUCCCGCCUGGGGAGUACGGUCGCAAGAUUAAAACUCAAAGGAAUUGACGGGGGCCCGCACAAGCAGCGGAGCAUGUGGUUUAAUUCGAAGCAACGCGAAGAACCUUACCUGGACUUGACAUCCCUUGCAUAGCCUAGAGAUAGGUGAAGCCCUUCGGGGCAAGGAGACAGGUGGUGCAUGGUUGUCGUCAGCUCGUGUCGUGAGAUGUUAGGUUAAGUCCUGCAACGAGCGCAACCCUUGUUAUUAGUUGCUACCAUUAAGUUGAGCACUCUAAUGAGACUGCCUGGGUAACCAGGAGGAAGGUGGGGAUGACGUCAAAUCAUCAUGCCCCUUAUGUCCAGGGCUACACACGUGCUACAAUGGUAGGUACAAUAAGACGCAAGACCGUGAGGUGGAGCAAAACUUAUAAAACCUAUCUCAGUUCGGAUUGUAGGCUGCAACUCGCCUACAUGAAGCUGGAGUUGCUAGUAAUCGCGAAUCAGAAUGUCGCGGUGAAUACGUUCCCGGGCCUUGUACACACCGCCCGUCACACCAUGAGAGCUGGUAACACCCGAAGUCCGUGAGGUAACCGUAAGGAGCCAGCGGCCGAAGGUGGGAUUAGUGAUUGGGGUGAAGUCGUAACAAGGUAGCCGUAGGAGAACCUGCGGCUGGAUCACCUCCUUUCU
rnacentral:rRNA from 1 species